UAUAAUUAUUCAAUCUGUGGAGCUUUUUUGAAUCUAUACUAAUCAAGUAGUCACAUAGAAAGUUUACAUGGUUACGAAAUGUUUAAACACAAUUCAUUACUAUUGCACCAUCUAAUAUAGCAACAGUACUUUGGUUUGGCUAAAGUUUUAUAAGCUCAAACAAUAAAAUUUAUACAAUUUUAUACUAACCUAUACGAAGCAACUAAGUGAUUCCUUCAGGUCUCUGGAGAUGAAAUAUACAAUUUAUACAACGAAUCGACUUUGGCUUACUACCAGAAAUUCUAAGUACGAAUACAAGAUUAUGUUGGAAGGAGUUAAUGUUUGAGAACGAUAUGAUGGAUCCCAUAUACUGCUCAAAUCUUCGAACAUUGAUUAGCAACUACAAUAAACGACAGAAAGAGACAUUUAAUAUAAACCUCGGAAUCAGUCGGACUUUGUUAAACAUCCAUUUCUUCAAGGUUUUUAGAUAAGUAACUUAUCCAUUUCAUUUUAUUACCAGCACGUAUUCCAUUUCUAUAAUUAUUCUAGACUAGUCCGUUAUAAAUUUACAAUAAAUUAUUAAGUGUGUAGUAAAGGAGACAGCGAAAUAUUAAUAGUAUGAUGCGAGUUUUCCAUUUUUCCCUGUAAGCGUUCAAUUAUUUAAUUACCACCUGAAAUGGAACAGUUUUACAAAGUCUGACGAUUAUUUCAAUUAAUCCAGCAAUAAUUUACACCUAUUUUUUUGGACAAGUGUAAUUAUGACAACAGUGUACAAAUAAUCCAGUAUAAUAGUCCUUAACAACGUUUCUAUACGUUCUUGUCAACAAAGAUUCCUAACCACCUAAUUCGACAAUAUGACAUGUAAGACAUUUCAAUUGCUGCAAGUGUGAUAAUUUAAUAAAAACAUCUAAUCUACCCCA